rnacentral:rRNA from 1 species
CUGUGCAAAGGUAGCAUAAUCAUUAGUCUUUUAAUUUAGGACUGGAAUGAAUGGUUUAACUGAACAAAUAUGUCUCAUUAUUAUAUUUCAAACUUUAUAUUUUAGUAAAAAAGCUAAAAUUAACAUUAAAGACAAGAAGACCCUAUUAAGCUUUAUAAUUAUAAUUUAACAUCAACAUAAACAAAAGAUUAUUUUACUGGGGCAGUAGAUAGAUAAAAUUUUAUUUCAAAAAGAUGUGAAUACAAUUCUUAAAAAACCAAAAAGUUUUUAAAAAGAAAUAAGUUACUAUAGGGAUAACAGCAUAAUUUUCUUAAAGAGUUCUUAUCAUCAAGAAAGUUUGUGACCUCGAUGUUGGAUUAAGAUACCAUUUUUAUGCAAUAAUAAAAUUCCGGAAGUCUGUUCGACUUUUAAACUCUUCCAUGAUCUGAGUUCAAAUCGA